rnacentral:rRNA from 1 species
AUUGAACGCUGGCGGCAUGCCUUACACAUGCAAGUCGAACGGCAGCACGGGUGCUUGCUCCUGGUGGCGAGUGGCGAACGGGUGAGUAAUACAUCGGAACAUGUCCUGUAGUGGGGGGUAGCCCGGCGAAAGCCGGAUUAAUACCGCCUACGAUCUACGUAUGAAAUCGGGGGACUUUCGGUCCCCGCGCUAUCGGUUUUGCCGUUAGCUGCUUAGCUUGUUUGUGGGGUAAAGGCCUACCAAGGCGACGAGCAGUAGCUGGUCUGAGAGGACGACCAGCCACACUGGGACUGAGACACGGCCCAGACUCCUACGGGAGGCAGCAGUGGGGAAUUUUGGACAAUGGGCGAAAGCCUGAUCCAGCAAUGCCGCGUGUGUGAAGAAGGCCUUCGGGUUGUAAAGCACUUUUGUCCGGAAAGAAAUCCUUGGCUCUAAUGCAGUCGGGGGAUGACGGUACCGGAAGAAUAAGCACCGGCUAACUACGUG